UUUGGGAACGAAAGAGACUUCAUAGUAGUUCUAGAAGAAGCCCCGUGGAACUAAUUGUGUGUGAUACGGAUACUCUGUGUGAUACGACUUAUUAAUUGUGUACACAAUAUGAAGAAAACCCUAGAACUAUAAUAAAUAUAAUUAUAAAAAUAUAUAUGUAAACAGCUAUAAAGCGCUCUAAAAGGGUACCCAUUAUCGUUAUAAAAAAAUACAAGUAAGGUAUGAUAAAUUAAUAUAGAUAUAUAUAUACAACGCGGAUGCCGGGCGGCCGUGAAUACGUCAGAAUUGCAUCGUGCUGUUCCAUUUCCGGGUCAAAAAGAGCUGGCCAGUGUUCCCAGGGAAGCAGCCGAGACAUGACCCUGGAUGUUUUUGUUGGCAUGCACGCUUCGCGCUAGGAAUACAGGCGGUUGAAUUGGUGUGGCCGCUCCUGAGGUUACGGAGCCGUGGCACACUUCGGGCUGCACACGGAGUUUGAAUGAAGGGCGAACAAAGUGCUGGUUUGGAUAGUAUGUUAUGAGCAGGAGGUGAAAUGUAAGAAGUGGAUGAGAAUGUAUUUUAGUGUGUUACGAGUGAAUCAUGAGGUGUGUAUGUGCGGGAUUUUAUUGCGUGUGCGGAGGGCGGAAGCAGCCCAAUGUGUUCAACAGAGGUAAUUAAUGUGAUAUGUGGCGGAAUGAAAUAGAAAGUCAGUUGUCAGCGGGCAUGGAAAGGAAGAAGUAUCAAAAGAAACGAGUCGAAUUUAGAAGUGGGUGAGAAAUGUGGAAAAAGGAAAAUAAGAUAGAAAGGCAGAAAUGUACGUUGUUUCACGUAACAGAUGAGUUUCGGAAGGAAGAAAGAGAGGUUGUUUUGAAAGGAAAAGAUGAAAAAAAAAUUUGAUGCUUAAAGAGCAUGGGAGGUGAUAGAUGAUUGGGAGAAGCACAUUAACGCAUACGAUGGCUUUAAACUUGUUUAUGCCUAGAAGAGGAGUAAUGAAAAAUGUGUUAACUUGUGUGUCAGAGGGAAUCAUUUUGUGUCUUUACGGAAUGGCACACAAAAAAAGUGGCAGGAUGGGUAUAAUUGUGAAUAUACAGGGAGGCUGUGAUUUUUGUAAUUGGAUAUACAUAGAAGUUCCUGUUUGGGGCAAACCGUCCAUCCAUCCAUUUUCUGAGCCGCUUCUCCUCACUAGGGUCGCGGGCGUGCUGGAGCCUAUCCCAGCUGUCAUCGGGCAGGAGGCGGGGUACACCCUGAACUGGUUGCCAGCCAAUCGCAGGGCACAUACAAACAAACACCCAUUCACACUCACAUUCACACCUACGGGCAAUUUAAAAUUGUCAAUUAAAAUGUUUUUGGGAUGUGGGAGGAAACCGGAGUGCCCGGAGAAAACCCACACAGGCACGGGGAGAACAUGCAAACUCCACACAGGCGGGGCCGGGGAUUGAACCCGGGUCCUCAGAACUGUGAGGCUGACGCUCUAACCAGUCAGCCACCAGUCGGCCAUAAUUAAGAAAAUUAUGCGAGGUACACCAGUCAACUAAAGACAUCCUUACAAUAGUUGAUACAGUCUAGUGACUAUUAAUACAGCAUAGCGAAUGCAACUCUUUUCAUUCACAGAAUUGAAGGAUAUGCCAUAGAGGGGUCAAGAUUAAGUUGCUACUUAUGGUACAUACGUCAUGAGACUGUGCCUCAUUUGCAUCAUGUACAAGGGAAAGUGUGGAGUACAUGUUUUUGAGAAUGGCUAAUAUGGUAUGAGGAUUAAUCUGUUUGAUUGUCUCCCAGAUUCAGCACAAGAGCAGGGAAGACAAAGAGGAUUUUUCCAUCUGUCGGGCAAGUUAAUUUUGAGGAGGUUUAUUUAUUUGCAUUCUAUCCCCUCAAUCAGGUUGAUUACAACAAUUUGUGGACAAGCGGAGAGCUACUUUUUGAGCUAAAGGGACAAAUUUAUCAGGGAUAGGAUUCUUAGAUUUCUAAAAAGAAGAUAACAUUGUUGCCCCAGUUAUUGGGGACUGAUUCCUUACAGCGGUUGGGAAGGCUUGGUCAAGGCAUUGAUCAUGUGAGACAUAAAGUAAUGAUACACAAAAGGGGUAAUCGGGAAGCACCAUAUAUAGAUUAAUAAAUACAAGUUAAGGUUGAUUGAGGAAAUAGCAGACAGAAUAAUCUGGGAAGUCCUGCGGUGCCCUGCGCCCUAAAAUAGCCUGGAACUUGCACUAAAAUGUUAAAUGACCGGACAUCGGCAUCCCAGCUAGGGGGCCCGUUUUACAACUGGUGCGUGUGCAAAGUUUACGAUAGGCAGGGCUUACGUCUGAGGAUAAGAGACAGAGGUCAGGAGGGUUGCAACUCAGAGACAACUGUAAAUAGGAAGAAAAGAACAAAGGUUAGACUUAAAAAUCUUCCGCUGACUUAAUUGAACAAGCGAGAAAGUAAGCGGAUAUAAACCAAAUUUAGAAGCUAUGACAGAAACGCCGUUUACUGAACAGGUGACUAUGGGAGGCUCGGUCGUGCUAGCGUGACCUUAUUGACAAGUGAAAACCCAGUGUGUCCCCUCUCAUAUGCUGUUACAGCCGCGGGUCGGUCGCCGGUUUCGGCUUUUCAGUUUAUCCACAAAAAUAACAAAGACAUAAGCAAUGCCGUAAAAGCCAGGAAGGGGGGCGCAACUGUUAUUAUUUGUCACGAGAGACUGAGAGACUCUUCAACCAGACGAUUGCAUCUAUAUGAAGGAUGUUUCUCAUGACAGAAAGAGAGCCAAGGAAAGGACUUUGUGGUGGAGACGGCGAAAAGCUGGAAAGGCAAAGAGCAGCUGAAUGGUCCUGUGUCUCCACGUUUACCAAGCGGAUUGGAACAAUAUGAUGAAAAGUCUGUUUCAGUGGGGGACAAAGUGGACACAUCUCAAAGUCAUCAAUGAUGCCGUGUGGCGGAGGUCGGAGUCGGUCGGUGAUCAGUGGCUCGUCGGAAGAUGGUGGGGACACACUUGAGGUAAUUUGGUAAUUGGUAUUAAGCAGGUCACCUGCCCUUGAACAGCAAUAAAGGGUAAAGGCUAGGCAGGGCAUAUAUUUAGGAGUUUUCAGUAUAAGGAGGGUUAAAUUUUACUUAAGAGUCAGAAAUCUCCCUAGUCAGUGGGGUGGGCAGAGGCACUAGAUAGGAUUGUGGGAGAAAUUAUGGCUAGAAAUAUUUUUGCCAUUAUGGGAGUAUGAGGUCAUGCAGUCCUCAGAUAGAAUUCUACUUCAAAAUUUAUAUUAAACGUCAGUAGGGGUUGAAAGAGAGAGGUCAGAAAGGAGCAGCCCUCCUACUUGAUUUCACCUACCAUUGGUUAAUGAGUCUGUUAGUAGUUUGUUAGCAAAAGCCUCCUACGCUGCACAUGUAAAUACCGAUGGACCAAGACCAUCUACUGUAUUUGGGCCCUAGGGGGUAAUAUACAAAGGGGGGCAUUGAUCGAUUAAUUAAUCUGGUCUGACGUGGAAGAGGGUGACUUGAUUUGCGGAUUUGUCAGAUGUGAUAUUGGAAAUUAGGCAAAAAGCAAUGAAGGAUACCUGUAGACUGGUAGAGGGAUCAGGGGGAAAUUAUGCGCAGUGACAUGGGUGUAGCAAGCCGUUUCUUGUACACCCGGGGAGUAAUAAUCAGAAAUCAGUCGGUACCAGAGCUAUUUUUAAAUUGGUCAAUCGAGCAGGAAUAUAGCGGUACUGAGGAGGAAAACCACGUGUAGUGAUUGUAAUAAUUAGUUCAAACCGAUCAACUUUCAAAUACUAGUUACGUGAUGGCAGGGGAGAAGGCGGUUUUUGCCCAAACAGGAACGAGGAAAGAGGGAUAUUAAUUGCGUUAAAAACAAAAGCCUCAGGAGGCUGCCCAAGUUUCAUAGCUCGCGAAUUACAAAUUUAGAUCCGCGGAUUGGGUAAGCACACAAAAUCUUCCAAAGGGGUUGGUUGGGAAUUACGAGUCAACCAAUAUAUAUUCUGUGUUCAAUGCUUAUGGUUUGUGGUCAAUGUUUAUGGUUUGUGUUAAAUGUUUACGUUUUGUGUUAAAUGUUUGUGUUGUGUUGAUUAAAAGCAGAAAUGAAGCACCACUGGGUCAAAUUCACUCAUGUGGAGAAGGCUUUUAUGCACUUUGUGGGGUCAUCUGAGACUACCAUGUUUAUGACGACCAGGACAUUGUGACAGACAAGUGGGUAAGGUCUACACAGACUGUUGACUAAUAGACCUUUGUGACGGUGUACAUAAGGACACGGGGAAGACUCUGCUUUUUGACUCUGAUUUGUAGACAUAACUAUAUUUUUUACAGGACGCCCAGGAGGAUGGAGGGUGACAGUGUUGAUUUAUUGCAGGUUAUGGGAGUGCUGACUUAACGCCGAUUCUUAUGUGAUUCUUGGGCUAUUGACAUUGCCGCUGUUGGGAAACGUGUUAACAAUGAAUUAUCAGUGUUAACAUGUGAUUCGUUAUUUAUGGAAAUAAUAUCAAUGUUUGGUGACCAUUGUCGACUUGGCCCUUCUCUGGAAUAUGAAGGCAGAGAUUCUGGAGUCCUGGCAGGAACAUCUUUUGCAGAGGAACUUUGCUGUAAUGCAUCCCACCCGUACCAUCUACGGCCGGCGGACCGGAGACAGCUGUCGAAGAAGGGUUCCGUGACCCGGAUAAAGUGGACACAUUGAUGCGUAAUGUAUCCGAACGGGAGGUAAGUAGUCCAAUUCUGAGCUUUGAUUCAACAUUAUACUGAUAUUGGAGGUUGCUAGUUUAUGCAGGUUCAUCACAGGAUGUUGGAUGGAGGAGAGCUUAGGAAGACACUGUGCAUGCAUGACUGGUGGGAUACAGAGUAGGACCAAUAUUGGAAUGUCUAAUACAAUACUAUCGAAGGAGUUCACCUGAUAUGGUAGUAAGUACCUUAGCGUGACACUGACGGUAAGUAUGAUAUGAGUGGUAAUGAAUAAUACGAAACAGCUAUUGACACCCCUGUAAAGGUUAUGAUUUAAAAAGUGACAGAUAUAUGGAAGUUGGCAUGAACAAUAAAUAUAGAGUAACUAUGGUAUAAUGAGCUAUUAGAGUCUGGGGGCUAAUAUGGAUUUGAUGACGCAGUCGGGUCCGAACUAGGGUCUCUACGAGGUACGGAACUAAAAGGGGAAUGAUGUGAAAAUUAACGCAGAUUUAAGUUACAGGACGACGGGGGGGUAAGAUAUUGCAAGCCGCUGCGGAUGAUUAGGGGAGCGUGCCAAGAAUCCACCGAAUUGGGUGAGGUAAGUCACGAGGGCAGGGACUAGCCCAUGCCGCAAGUGGGGUGAGAAGUGGGAAAUUAGGAAAGAAGAGGGGUUGGGGCACCUGUUAAAUAAAUGGUAGAAAUUAUCAUAGUUUGGCUUAGUUUGCAUUAAUAUUAUGGACAAUUUUGAUGGAAAGAAUUGCGCAACAAAGAAGUCUGCGGAAGAAUAAACCUAGGGUAAUACUAGUCACUGGCAAGUCAAAGGGACGACGGAGUCCUGUACGUACUUAAAUUCCAUGUUUCAGGUGGUUUGUAAAAACGUUACUAGUAUCGUGUGAAUGUGUAGAAGUAUGAAUGUAUACGACCGGAUUGCAAGUUACAACUGGGUUUGGAAGCAGGUGCAAGAAUCCUCCGCCCCAUGUGGGUAAAAGUUUGAGGAGUACCAAACCCCAGACAUUCAGUGUCACCCUGUCAUUUUGAAUAGUCAGUAUUUAGGUCACUCGAGGUGCAAAUAAACUGACUUCCAAAUUCACAAAAUAAGGAAAAAUAACAGUAAAACGGAUUCAAAAGAACGCUUAACGUGUAAAGACUGGAAAUAUGUUCAACUCCAAACCCCUUACAAAAUGAAACAUUUAAACACAUGGAUAACCAAAUACGAUCUUGCGGGCCAGCUAAAUUCUAAAAAUUGGUUCAACGUCGAGAUGAAAUAAAAGUCGACAUAAAAAUAAUAGAAAAAAGAGGGAUAUGACGACGUAGUUGUCUGGCUAAACAUGGUGUCUAAAAUAGAAAAAGGAAGUAAGAAAAAGAAGGACUUAGAAAAUGGAUGGAAAAGGCCUUCAGUGACAUUAAACAACAUCUGGUGUCCAGUAACGCGCUGGCCCUUCCAAAUUAUGAUAAAACAUUCAUUCAAAUGGUAGAGUAUAAAAGCUAUUACAUGACCUCCGUACUUACGCAACAAUGCGGUGAUAAACUAAGACCAAGAGCUUAUUUUUCGACUAAAUUAGACAGCGUGAUGUGAUAAUGGCCGGCACGGUGGACGACUGGUUAGAGCGUCUGCCUCACAGUUCUGAGGACCGGGGUUCAAUCCCCGGCCCCGCCUGUGUGGAGUUUGCAUGUUCUCCCCGUGCCUGCGUGGGUUUUCUCCGGGCACUCCGGUUUCUUCCCACAGCUCAAAAACAUGCAUUAAUUGGAGAUUCUAAAUUGCCCGUAGGUGUGACUGUGAGUGCGACUGGUUGUUUGUUUGUAUGUGCCCUGCGAUUGGCUGGGAACCAGUUCAGGGUGUACCCCGCUUCCUGCUCGAUGACAGCUGGGAUAGGCUCCACCACGCCCGCGACCCUAGUGAGGAGAACCGGCUCAGAAGAUGAAUGGAUGUAUGGACGUGGUGAUGGAAGUUAGGUCAUUUUCUUGGCUCAGAUUCCUUCAUGCAAGUGUGUUACAAAAUAAAAAUAAUAUCCAGCGGUGGUACGCGUAGGAGUCAUAUCCGCAGGGGUUUGGAGGCAUACAGCGAUGCAAGGGGGGUAUUAUCACUUACGGAUUAAGCAACUGCCACUACCGUGUCUGCCUCAGAUGUGUAGAACUGACUGCCCUCCAUAUGUUGUACUGUUAGAUAUCCAUUUGAAAAUGGGUUGGAUUAAGGUUGAUUUUGUUGCAAAAUACUGGCAGAUGUUUUUGUUCUUCCAGGGGUGGUCUGGAGCUGUUCGGGGUCCCGCGUGUAUAAACCUGGACUCUGGGACAAUUUCAUGGACUGUGAUUAUGGACAGCGGGCCCUGGGCUGCAGGGGUUACAGUUUCUUCAACAAUGACAUGAGCUGUAGACCAUAUGGAGGGAGACCACCUUUAGGAUUUUUAUUUUGUGUGUAUUUUGAUAUGUGUGCUUCCACAGUUCUUUUUUGUGUUUUACACUGUUUUUUGUUCAUUUAUUUCAAUGUUUGUAUUAUUCUGUUGUGUAUGGUUUACCAUCCGAGUCAGGGUCCCUUUGGGUGUUUUGAUGUACGGGGCUCUGAAGGACACUUGAUCUGACUCUCGCUCUUUUCCUCGUCUCAUUUGAGAGAGGUUUUUCGACCGAGAGCCGCGAAACCUUGGCGCUUCCACGAGGCUGCGCGUACAAAUUGAUAAAUUUGGGAUUGGCUCCUUUUUGAUAGCGGGGAGGAGAUUUGGUUUGUUUGGCUGUUUGGUACGCACGUGUGGCCUCAGGGGGCGACAAUGAGACGCAGGGAGUGAUUCAGCCUUAUUAGAAUAAUUGUUUUUCCUAGUAAAUGGUUAACCUUAAAUAAAUGCCUUGGAGCAUGAUAGA